UGGAUCAAAGCCAGUUGAUUAGGGUACUUAGCUGUUAACUAAGUUUUUAUGGGUUUAAGUCCCAUUGAUCUAG
ensembl:Mt_tRNA